UGAAGUCACAAAGACUCACCAACUCCACCAGAUCAAGCCAAGCCUUCCUCCAUCUCCUGUCCAUAUGCAGGCCCCUGGGGGCUGGUGCAUUUUUGUAGACUCUCUUUUUGGGGAUAAGGGAAGAAGAUAUUCUGAGACCCUGAGACUGGGCCCUACAUCUUAGUACUUAUCCACAGUUAUGCUGUGGUGAAGCUGCUUUUCCGAGCGUGUUCCCUCUGCUCCAGAGACUAACCAUCCCAGUGGACACGUCCAGCCCUUUCCAGGGAAAUAUGGAGAAAUUAAAUGAAGCUUAAAAUCUCUGUAGAAGGGCAAAGAAGACAUGACAGGGAAGAAUUGUUUUAAAGUCAUCACCACUCUUCUUCAAAAUAUGGAACCACUCCAUAAGAUAUGUCUAAAAUCAGAAGAAUCCCAUGUUUUUAACUCCUAGAAGUCAGCGCUGGGUCUCUGAGGUUGCCCUUGCUGUUCCAUCACACUCAAUGGGCUGUUAUCUAAAGUGAUUCAAGUAUGGAGGAAGAAAAAACAUCUUUGAGUUGGAAAGAGCAGAAAUAAAGGGUAACAGAGAAACUACAACUCAUGCAAAAGGAGCAGCAGCACGUUACAGUGAAGGGAGCCCCGAGCUGCAAAGCCCUGGGGUGGAGGGCCAGCUCUAUUCUUUGGUAACUGUGUG
rnacentral:lncRNA from 1 species